GAAACUUUUCCCCAGGCCUUUGUGAGUUGGUGCUUCUGAGAGAGUUAUACAUUCACAACAAUGAUUUAAGAGGUAGCUUGCCUUUGUGCUUGGCAAAUUUGACUUCCCUUCGAGUAUUAGAUGUCUCUUACAAUCAACUUACUGAAAACAUCUCAUCUUCCCUCAUGCAUCUAAUAUCUAUGGAAAAGCUCAUACUUUCAAAUAAUCACUUCUUCCAAAUCCCUAUUUCACUUAAACCACUUUUCAAUCUCUCAAAACUCAAGACUUUCGAGGGUGAAAUAUGCGCAGAAACUGAGUCACAUUAUAAUUCUUUGACCCCA
rnacentral:lncRNA from 1 species